rnacentral:lncRNA from 1 species
GCUUUACCAUUCCACAGGGCUGAUGAGCUCCACAUAUCGAUUGAGACUCGAACGUUUUGGGAGAAUAUUUUCACAUUUUAUGUGAGUCUGCUUGUUUCCUGGAAUUCACUCCAGAUCUUCAUUCGAUCUUGAGGUGUCCAGGGUAAGAGACCCUAAAUGUAAUAAGCCUGCUGCGGCUGGAACACAUGGCUCAAACAUUGGCCUAAACAAG